AUGGCGGCGCCGCCUUCCUGGCCGCUCCUGAACGACAGUGCUGGCUACUACGAAAGGGCGGACUACGGCUGCGGGCCGCUCGGCGAGCGCGUGGUCGACGGCCUUGCCCUCCUCGCGCGCCUGGACGGUGGAGACGGCGAUCAGACCGAGCUCUGCCUCCGCGCCGCCGACGACGUGCUCCGCCUCUUCUGCGAGAUGGUGCCCGGCGAGGUGGCGAGGAUCUGCGGCCACAGGGAGAUCGCCGACGAGCAGACGGAGAUCAUUGGGACUCAUGUCCGCUUCUACGCCCGUGUCGAUGCCGUGGACGGCGAGCGGGGUCUCGUGGUCUUCAGCCGGCACUUCCUGGCCGACGAAUACGUCGGUAAUCUCCGAUCGUACUACCUAGUCCAUGACUCCGCCGCCGCCUCACUCUCCCUGCUCCCGCAGCUUCCUCGGCAAUGCCCGGCCGUCUACGACAAGCGCCCUCUCCUGGUGUGCCACCGCGACGACGGUAGCUACUCGCUUGUGCUCAUGGCGAUCAGCUCCGAGCAAUGGACCGACGACCUGUUAGUGCGGCCCGUGAUCUGCCAGUGGUCACCGCCGACGCCGCAGUCGCUGUCCGGUGAUAACCGUGACAAGGGCGACGGCAUCUGCCUGUGGAGGACGCGCCAGGUGCGCCAGCUUUGUGCCGUGCCUAUCUGGUUCGAAAUAAGCGCGCAGGUGUUCACGUGCAAGGGGAAGGCUUUCUGGGCUGAUCUCAAGCAAUGCCUCCUGUACUGCGACUGCGCCGACCUCCUCAACGAUGGCGACGACGACAUCGAGUUCACCUACGUCGCGCUGCCGAAGGAGUACAGGGUGGACCGGUGGAGGAGCUAA
rnacentral:rRNA from 1 species